GCUUCUUUUUGUUUGAGGCAGCAAUUGAUCACGCGCUAAACGCGUGUCAAUUUACCUUCUCUAUUUAUAUAGGCAUUUUAGGAGAUCUCCAAAUUCCAAAUAAUUGUUUGUCUUUUAGGGUUGGGGCUUUGUUUUUCUCCGUCUCUCUAUUUCUCUGAUCUCUUCGAAUUUCAGACGCAAGCCCUAACCCUAGGCUCCCAACUAUGUCGUCAAAGCAAGGUGGAAAAUUGAAGCCUUUGAAGCAACCCAAAUCCGAUAAGAAAGAAUACGAUGAGCAUGAUAUGGCUAACCUUCAGAAAAAGAAGGAAGGAGAGAAGGCACUUAAAGAGCUGAGAGCAAAGGCUCAAGAAAAGGGCACAUUUGGUGGUGCUGGCCUCAAGAAGAGUGGGAAGAAAUGAGGGUCUAAAAAUCAAGCUAAACCAAAAAAACUAUUGAGUCUUGUGUUGUGAUUACAAUUUCUAUUAAGAUGAUAUCUUUUGGGAUGAUUUGAUUCUCUAGUGUCAUACUGAAUUUGGCAAUUUGCUGCAAAGCCAUGUGUGGAAUGUUUGUAAAAAUAAAUUUAAAGUUCUACGUUUGUGCUUAUGUUUGUGUUCUUAAAUCUGCUAUAGUUUUGAUUUGCUAAUGCCUGGAUUUGGCUUUGGCUUAUCAAAUAUAACAGUUGUGAAUCUGAUGACAAUAAGUUCUUGCCUUU